rnacentral:lncRNA from 1 species
GGAUUUAGAGGAGAAAAUAGAAGCGAAAAAUAAUGAAAAAAAGAAGGAUAAAGGGAGAAAAAGGAAGAAAAAUCCCGAUUUGUGCCCCGGAGCUGGGAAAAUUCAGGAAUUUGAGGAAAAUGCCCCAAACGGAGCCGGAGGCAGCGGCCGGGGAAGCAGCAAAACGCAGGGAAAAAAAAGGCAAAAAAACGGUGAGAAAAAGCCGAGGAAAGGGAAAAAAAAAGAAAGGAUUUAACCAAAAAAGGCCAGUCUGCACUCAAAACGCGCUCAGGAGAUUCCGGCAGGGAUUUGAGGAGAAAACCCCCAGAUUUGGGGAAUUCAGAGAACCGCAAGUAGGAAGAGUCAGCAGCAUCAAAAAG